UACGUAGGGGGCAAGCGUUGUCCGGAAUCAUUGGGCGUAAAGAGCGUGUAGGCGGCUCGGUAAGUCCGCUGUGAAAGUCCAGGGCUCAACCCUGGAAUGCCGGUGGAAACUGUCGAGCUAGAGUCCGGAAGAGGCGAGUGGAAUUCCUGGUGUAGCGGUGAAAUGCGCAGAUAUCAAGGAGGAACACCAAUGGCGAAGGCAGCUCGCUGGGACGGUACUGACGCUGAGACGCGAAAGCGUGGGGAGCAAACAGG
rnacentral:rRNA from 1 species